CCCAAAUCUAACUGCCAUGCUUUGACACCACUUUUGUUUAUAUUUGUGUGCCCUGUCAAUCACUACACAUUCAACACUGCUUAAAGAUGUAAUUCUCUGCUUCUCAGCCACUGUGUUUGUUUUUUAAUUAUCUCUCCUAUCCCAGCCUCUCUGAACAUGAUUGCAUAGCCAACAGCUGCCACACUCAUCUUCCAUUGAGAAGCCCUGACUCAUACCACACCCCUGCUUCCAUCCAUCAGCCCUGAGUCAUACCACACCCCUGCUUCCAUUGAGAAGCCCUGAGUCAUACCACAUGCCUGCUGACAAGCUUUCAGGGGGUUCUAUUUCUAUCGAAGAAAGACAGCACCAAAAGGCGUCCAUGGUCUUGUCCUCACAUCACCUCUACCAGUUUGAUCUCUCAUGUCAUGCUUGAGCCCAGACACAAGGUUUCUCCUAGCCAAACUGGCCAGCCCAUCCAUCAAGGACUGCUUGUGUGCUCCUGUCCUAUUGCAUACUCAGCCUGUUUCUCCACAUGUGAGGUCCAUCCUCUUCCCAGCCUUCUCACUACUUGGCAUUCACUAUACCACUUCCCUCAGAAGUGUUUCUAAGAGAGAAGAUGGCUCUAUCUAGGGGACUCUAUUAUACUGAAAGUGCUGCACCUGUCUCAGAAACACUUCAGCACUUGACACAACCCAAGGUUGGCAGACAUACCAGCAUAUCUUGAUGCCACAAGAUUGGAUAAGCAGAGAGUUUCCAGCUCUUUGACCUGGCUGCCAUGACUGCAACUCAGAGGAGACUUUUUUUCGGCAGUCCUCAUAGGUACACUGUGACUUCUCGUUUCCGAGCACGUUACUGAUUCUUAAUUUAUACUUGACACUUCCCUUGUAAUAUGGGAGUGUGUGCUGCCUCUAAAAAGGUGAGGGCAGUGACUUGUCCAGGUCCUGAAGGGAGGCAGGAGUAGAAUGUGUAUCGUAGGCAGUUUCACUUCACCAUCAGUCUGAAUUCCACACGCUCAUUCUGAAAAUGCCCUGACUUUGGGGAAUGCUUGCUAAUCCAUACACAUCCCCAAUUCUAGCUUGCAAACAGGUUUCAGUUCAGCGAUUUCUUCUUGAAAUGUGUGUUCUCCCUCAUGCUCUAGGUCUUAACACAGGUCUUGUUGUGGUUCCUAGAGUGGACUGGAGUGCCUGUAACAAAGUACUCUUGUGAUCUCCACAUUCUUAAUAGCUGUAACUAACAGCAUCAACUGUGGCUAAAUUUUUUCUUUUAAAUAAUUUGAGUUCUUAAUCUUUCUCCUCUAUUUGCAGGAAAUUUGCACAUACUAGAAUGGAGCCAUUGCAGACUACAAUGAAGUCACAGUAUUCUUUUCACAUACAUAUGUGCCCUGUAGCCUAUGAGUGUUUUCAAAGCCUUUUCCUUUUUUCAUAUAUGCUAAAUAAUUAGAACUAUGUUCUGUAUGUGCUUUGCAUAUUCUUCAGACCUCCUAUCUCAUUCACACUGAGAAUGUACAUGCUUCUAAUGUCCCCAGAGCCCUGCAUAGUCUAUAAUAACAUAUUUCUCAUGUUAUCAUAGACAAAGCUCCUCUAAUUUAUAUUAGUUUUCUCUCCCUCUUCCUCUCCCCCCUCCUCCCUCUUGCCUCUCCUCCUUCCAUGUCACUUAUCUUCCUUACUUUUAGGUUUAUAGCACUGGGGAUCUGAAUGUACUAAUUUCUCUUUAAAAUUAAUUUCUGUAUAUAUUCUAACAUGGACAGACAUCCCAGGGGAUAUUGUUUAAAAAUGUAUAUUGAUUUAGUAGAUCUAGUGUAGGGUCUAAGAUCCUGCAUUCCCAACCAACUGCUAGACUGCAUCAAUGUGCUCUGAUUGGUGAGUGACUAGAUAAUUUAUCUACAUUAAGAGAGAAGAGCCUUGAUCUGUUUUUAGUUUUUUUCUUAACCACUGUGUUCUGUGUUCUCAGUGCUUAGAUUAUGUCUGCUACAUAGUAGUUGCUCAAUUAGCAAUCAAAGAUAAAGGAAUGCAUACAUUUUACUUAAAUAGAGAGAAACACAAAAUGGCUUGCUUGUUACAUAUGGUUUUCAGUGGCUGACUUUGCAGAGACAAUCUGGGGAAAUCAAUGAACUUCUCUGAGCCCCAAUUUCCUGAUUUGCACAAAGAGUUCUACAUAUCAUCUUUUAGGUCCAUUGUACCUUAAAGCAUAUGACUCAGUGAGUUCAUAGGAAUCAGAAAUACAAGUGUUUUCCAACCAGCUGAAAAGCAAAACAAUUGUGCAACUAUGACA
ensembl:lincRNA